rnacentral:rRNA from 1 species
AUGGGUGAUGGCGUGCCUUUUGUAGAAUGAACCGGCGAGUGACGAUGGCGUGCGAGGUUAAGCCGAAGAGGCGGAGCCGCAGCGAAAGCGAGUCUGAAGAGGGCGUCAAGUACGUCGUCGUCGACCCGAAACCAGGUGAUCUACCCAUGUCCAGGGUGAAGGCCGGGUAACACCGGCUGGAGGCCCGAACCCACGCACGUUGAAAAGUGCGGGGAUGAGGUGUGGGUAGGGGUGAAAUGCCAAUCGAACUUGGAGAUAGCUGGUUCUCCCCGAAAUAGCUUUAGGGCUAGCCUCGGGUGUAAGAGUCUUGGAGGUAGAGCACUGAUUGGGCUAGGGGCCCAAAACGGGUUACCGAACCCAGUCAAACUCCGAAUGCCAACGACUUAUGCCCGGGAGUCAGACUGCGAGUGAUAAGAUCCGUGGUCGAGAGGGGAACAGCCCAGACCGCCAGCUAAGGCCCCGAAGUGCACGUUCAGUGGAAAAGGAUGUGGAGUUGCCGAGACAACCAGGAUGUUGGCUUAGAAGCAGCCACCAUUUAAAGAGUGCGUAAUAGCUCACUGGUCGAGUGACUCUGCGCCGAAAAUGUACCGGGGCUAAACGUGCCGCCGAAGCUGCGGGAUGACCGUUGGUCAUCGGUAGGGGAGCGUUCUAAGGGCAGAGAAGCCAGACCGGAAGGACUGGUGGAGCGCUUAGAAGUGAGAAUGCCGGUAUGAGUAGCGAAAACAGAGGUGAGAAUCCUCUGCGCCGAAAGCCUAAGGGUUCCUGAGGAAGGUUCGUCCGCUCAGGGUUAGUCGGGACCUAAGCCGAGGCCGAAAGGCGUAGGUGAUGGACAACAGGUGGAGAUUCCUGUACCACCUCCUUCCCGUUUGAGCGAUGGGGGGACGCAGGAGGAUAGGGCGAGCAGGCGGCUGGAAGAGCCUGUCCAAGCCGUGAGGCUGAUCCGCAGGCAAAUCCGCGGAUCGCAAGGCCAAGCGGUGACGGCGACGGAGUAUUCCGGAAGUCCCCGAUUUCACACUGCCAAGAAAAGCCUCUAGCGAGGGAAGAGGUGCCCGUACCGCAAACCGACACAGGCAGGCGAGGAGAGAAUCCUAAGGCGCGCGGGAGAACUCUCGUUAAGGAACUCGGCAAAAUGACCCCGUAACUUCGGGAGAAGGGGUGCUCGUUUGGGUGGUGAGCCCGAACGAGCCGCAGUGAAAAGGCCCAAGCGACUGUUUAUCAAAAACACAGGUCUCUGCGAAGCCGAAAGGCGACGUAUAGGGGCUGACACCUGCCCGGUGCUGGAAGGUUAAGGGGAGCGCUUAGCGGAAGCGAAGGUGCGAACCGAAGCCCCAGUAAACGGCGGCCGUAACUAUAACGGUCCUAAGGUAGCGAAAUUCCUUGUCGGGUAAGUUCCGACCCGCACGAAAGGUGUAACGACUUGGGCGCUGUCUCAACGAGAGACCCGGUGAAAUUAUACUACCUGUGAAGAUGCAGGUUACCCGCGACAGGACGGAAAGACCCCGUGGAGCUUUACUGCAGCCUGAUAUGGAAUUUUGGUAUCGCUUGUACAGGAUAGGUGGGAGCCUGGGAAGCCGGAGCGCCAGCUUCGGUGGAGGCGGCGGUGGGAUACCACCCUGGCGGUAUUGAAAUUCUAACCCGCACCCCUUAGCGGGGUGGGAGACAGUGUCAGGCGGGCAGUUUGACUGGGGCGGUCGCCUCCCAAAAGGUAACGGAGGCGCCCAAAGGUUCCCUCAGAAUGGUUGGAAAUCAUUCGGAGAGUGCAAAGGCACAAGGGAGCUUGACUGCGAGACGGACAGGUCGAGCAGGGACGAAAGUCGGGCUUAGUGAUCCGGUGGUUCCGCAUGGAAGGGCCAUCGCUCAACGGAUAAAAGCUACCCCGGGGAUAACAGGCUGAUCUCCCCCAAGAGUCCACAUCGACGGGGAGGUUUGGCACCUCGAUGUCGGCUCAUCGCAUCCUGGGGCUGUAGUCGGUCCCAAGGGUUGGGCUGUUCGCCCAUUAAAGCGGUACGCGAGCUGGGUUCAGAACGUCGUGAGACAGUUCGGUCCCUAUCCGUCGCGGGCGGAGGAAAUUUGAGAGGAGCUGUCCUUAGUACGAGAGGACCGGGAUGGACGCACCGCUGGUGUACCAGUUGUCCCGCCAGGGGCACCGCUGGGUAGCUAUGUGCGGACGGGAUAAGCGCUGAAAGCAUCUAAGCGUGAAGCCCCCCUCAAGAUGAGAUUUCCCACCGCGCAAAGCGGGUAAGAUCCCUCGAAGAUGACGAGGUCGAUAGGUCCGAGGUGGAAGCGUGGCGACACGUGGAGCUGACGGAUACUAAUCGAUCGAGGGCUUAACCUA